rnacentral:rRNA from 1 species
UUAAGGGUGCAGGGCGGAUGCCUUGGCACUAGGAGCCGAUGAAGGACGUGAUAAGCUGCGAUAAGCUUCGGGGAGUUGCACGUAAACUUUGAUCCGAAGAUUUCCGAAUGAGGAAACUCACUUAGAGUAAUGUCUAAGUAUCAUUAAGUGAAUACAUAGCUUAAUGAGGGGAACUCAGGGAACUGAAACAUCUAAGUACCUGAAGGAAGAGAAAGAAAUUCGAUUCCGUAAGUAGCGGCGAGCGAACGCGGAUUAGCCCAAACCAAUAAAGUUUUCUUUAUUGGGGUUGCGGACAUAUCAUAACGAAGAGGUAUCGUAAUUGAAGAGGUUUGGAAAGACCCACCACAGAAGGUAAUAGUCCUGUAUGUUAAACGAGAAGACUUCAGAUAUGAUCCAGAGUACCACGGGACACGUGAAACCCUGUGGGAAGCAGGAGGGACCACCCUCCAAGGCUAAAUACUACCUAGUGACCGAUAGCGUAUAGUACCGUGAGGGAAAGGUGAAAAGAACCCCGGGAGGGGAGUGAAAUAGAACCUGAAACCCUGCACUUACAAGCUGUGGAAGCACAUUUCUUGUGUGACCGCGUACUUUUUGUAGAACGGGCCAACGAGUUACGUUAAGUAGCAAGGUUAAGCACUUAAGGUGCGGAGCCGUAGCGAAAGCGAGUUUUAACUGAGCGUUCAGUUACUUGACGUAGACCCGAAACCGGGCGACCUACCCAUGAGCAGGAUGAAGCGAAAGUAAAAUUUCGUGGAGGUCCGAACCCACGAGCGUUGAAAAGCUCGGGGAUGACUUGUGGGUAGCGGUGAAAUUCCAAUCGAGCCCGGAGAUAGCUGGUUCUCCCCGAAAUAGCUUUAGGGCUAGCCUCAAGGUGAGAGAUACGGAGGUAGAGCACUGAAUGUCCUAGGGGGUAUUGCACCUACCGAAGACUAUCAAACUCCGAAUGCCGUCAUCUUAUACUUGGGAGUCAGACUGUGGGUGAUAAGAUUCAUAGUCGAAAGGGCAACAGCCCAGAUCGUCAGCUAAGGUCCCUAAAUGUAAGUUAAGUGGUAAAGGAUGUGGGAUUGCACAGACAACCAGGAUGUUGGCUUAGAAGCAGCCACUCAUUCAAAGAGUGCGUAAUAGCUCACUGGUCGAGUGAUCCUGCGCCGAAGAUUUCCGGGGCUAAAACUUACUACCGAAGCUACGGCAUCAGUAAUGAUGGGUAGGGGAGCUUCCCAUACGGGUUGAAGCAUGACCGUAAGGACAUGUGGACAGUAUGGGAGUGAGAAUGUUGGCAUGAGUAGCGAGAUGUGGGUGAGAAUCCCACAGGCCGUAAACCCAAGGUUUCCAGGGGAAGGUUCGUCCGCCCUGGGUUAGUCGGGACCUAAGCUGAGGCCGAAAGGCGUAGGUGAUGGACAACAGGUUGAUAUUCCUGUACUACCGAUAACCGUUUGAGAGAAGGGAUGACACAGUAGGAUAAGCUAAGCACACUGUUGGUUAUGUGUGCCCAAGCAUUGAGGCAGUCAAAGUAGGCAAAUCCGCUUUGAUAAUGCUGGGAUGUGAUGGGGAGCGAAAUUUAGUAGCGAAGUAGCUGAUUUCACACUGUCAAGAAAAGUCUCUAUCGAGGUUAAAGGUACCCGUACCGCAAACCGACACAGGUGGGUGAGGAGAGUAUCCUAAGGCCAGCGAGAGAACUGUUGUUAAGGAACUCGGCAAAAUGACCCCGUAACUUAGGGAUAAGGGGUGCCACCAUCAGGUGGCCGCAGAGAAUAGGCCCAAGCGACUGUUUACCAAAAACAUAGGUUUCUGCUAAGUCGCAAGACGAUGUAUAGGAGCUGACGCCUGCCCGGUGCUGGAAGGUUAAGGGGAUCUGUUAGAGCAAUCGAAGCAGUGAACUUAAGCCCCAGUAAACGGCGGCCGUAACUAUAACGGUCCUAAGGUAGCGAAAUUCCUUGUCGGGUAAGUUCCGACCCGCACGAAAGGCGUAACGAUUUGGGCACUGUCUCAACAACAGACUCGGUGAAAUUGUAAUUCCGGUGAAGAUGCCGGAUACCUGCGACAGGACGGAAAGACCCCAUGGAGCUUUACUGUAGCUUGACAUUGGGUCUUGGUACUACAUGUACAGGAUAGGUGGGAGGCUUUGAAACCAGGACGCCAGUUUUGGCGGAGCCAUCCUUGGGAUACCACCCUUGUAGUACUGGGACUCUAACCAUAGGCCAUGAAUCUGGUCUUGGGACACUGUCAGGUGGGCAGUUUGACUGGGGCGGUCGCCUCCCAAAAGGUAACGGAGGCGCUCAAAGGUUCUCUCAGUACGGUCGGAAAUCGUACGUAGAGUGUAAAGGCAAAAGAGAGCUUGAUUGCAAGACAUACAGGUCGAGCAAGGAUGAAAAUCGGACUUAGUGAUCCGGUGGUUCUGCGUGGAAGGGCCAUCGCUCAACGGAUAAAAGCUACCCUGGGGAUAACAGGCUUAUCUCCCCCAAGAGUCCACAUCGACGGGGAGGUUUGGCACCUCGAUGUCGGCUCAUCACAUCCUGGGGCUGUAGUAGGUCCCAAGGGUUGGGCUGUUCGCCCAUUAAAGUGGUACGCGAGCUGGGUUCAGAACGUCGUGAGACAGUUCGGUCCCUAUCCGUCGCAGGCGUAGGAAAUUUGAGAAGACCUGUCCUUAGUACGAGAGGACCGGGAUGGACGUACCUCUGGUGUACCAGUUGUCCUGCCAAGGGCAUGGCUGGGUAGCUAUGUACGGAAUGGAUAAGCGCUGAAAGCAUCUAAGCGCGAAGCCAACUUCAAGAUAAGAUUUCCCACCGCAAGGGUAAGACCCCAGAAAGACUAUCUGGUUGAUAGGUCGAAGGUGUAAGUGCAGCAAUGUAUUUAGCUUAUCGAUACUAAUAGGUCGAGGACUUGACC